rnacentral:rRNA from 12 species
AACAAUUAAGGAAACUUAGAUUCAGUAAUUUUAAAUGAAAAACUUUUUAUAAAAGUUAGUAACUUUACUUUAAAUUUCGAAAACUUAAACAAAUAAUGAUUGUUUAAGCAAAAAUUCUGACAAAUUUUCGUGCCAGAUGUCUCGGUAAAACGUAUAGAAUAAACGUUAAUCAAAAAUACUUGGCGUAAAAUGCUAAAAGAUCGCGAUUU